CAGUACGCAGCUCGUCACGGCUUCACAAACACCUACGCAUUCUCGUCGACAGAAAUAAUCUUAACAUGGAGGGACAGAAGAGGAAAUGACUGCUUUUACAGCUAUAGUUGCUGCAGCAACAACAACUAUUGUAGUGGGAGAAUAUUGCCGAAAUUAUUUAUUUAGGACACCCUCACGAUUUGGAUACUAUAAAAGAAGCAGGAUCAUAAAUGGGAUAAUUAGAUCGGGUGACCAAGAAUGUGUUACACAACUCUGAAUAAAUAGGGCUACAUUCUUCAACCUAUGCUCCUUUCUCAAGGAUAGGAAUCUCCUUCCUGAAGGGAAACAUGUUUGUAUGAAAGAACAACUUGUCAUGUUCCUUCAUACAGUAGGGCAUAAUGUGAGGAACCGUGUCAUUGGUAAUCGGUUUAUAAGGUCUGGAGAAACGGUAAGUCGAUAUUUUAGUAAAGCUCCGGAUGUUGUUGUCGGAAUAUAUCCAGACUUUGUAAAACUCCCAAGUGCGGAUAGACCUGUCGAGAUUCUAGCCAAUCCCAAUUGGAGCACAUAUUUUCAGAUAAUUGAAGUUAGUAACGGGGAAAUGUCUCCAAAGAAACCAAACAACCAAUCCACCCUGACAAAAGAAACUGGUCAAGAACGGUGUGUUACACCAUGAAGGACACCAAAGAAAUACAAAUUAAAAUCACCCGAUGGAAAUGGAUCGUCAAGUGGUGUAAUGCGGUGGACAGAUGAAAUGGAUGAUUGCCUUAUCAAUACGCUAAUGGAUGUUGUUGCAAAUGGCCGUAAGAGUGCCAAUGGUUUUAAGAAGGAAACCUACAAAACAGUCGUGGAGACCGUGAGAAAUGCAAUAGGAAUAACAGUUCAAGAGAAACAUGUUGGGAAUUGCCUUUGCACUUUGAAGAGGUUGUAUUUCGAGGUUCGGGACACUCUAAACACUAAUGGCUUUGGUUGGGACGAUGACUUGAAGAUAGUGACCAAUGCGGAUGAUGUUUGGGAGGAUUACAUACGAGUGAAACUAUUUUUGAAAUAAAAUUUGUUAUGACUUCAGUAAUUAAUUUUGUUUUUAUAUUGUACGUAUGUUCUCAUGUAUGUUUAUUUAUAUUGAUUUUUAUCGUUGUUGUCACUAGUCGCAUCCUUGCGCAUAACAUGUUCAGGGGAAAACGGUGUGAAGGUACGAUGACCUAACAUACGUAUUCGGUAAUGACCGAGCAGCUGGAUUGCAUGCUUCCACAAGAAACAUACAUAAUACUAAGCCAUCGAGAAGGUUCAGGGAUACUGAUAUUUCACCGACACGGUUUGUAGAUCUGAAUGACGAUACUCUCAUGUUAUUGAGUGACGAUGUAGGGGACAGUGCGCCUAACAUCCAGUGGUCGUAUCGAAGUUGUGAUGGUUCUCAUAUUGCAAACCGAAGUCCGACUGUGAAUGGGAACAACUCGGCCAACACGGGAAGCACAACCAAUUUAGGGAAGAGAGUUAGGAUGGAAUGCCCUUGUGAUAUCAUAGCCAAAGGAAUGAGUGACGUUGCUGAAGCUGUCAAAUCAUUGGCUGUUACCAUACACCAAGGGAAGGACAUGUUACAUAUGUUGCAGGUUGUACCUGCUCUGGAGCAGAUUGAGGGCCUUACUGGUCAUGAGAUCUUACGCGCAAUAAGAAUACUAUCGAAAGAUGAACAACAAUCUGCUUCAUUCCUUUCUCUCCAUGAGAAUAGAAGGUUGGAUUUCGUGUUGAUGCUGCUUGCUCCAGAUCAUUCAUUUGACUGUGUAGUCCCCUCCACCUGACCGUAUGGGUUUCUGUUUUGUUUGGCUGGUUUGCCAAGUGAUUUUUUGGACAUAUGUGCUAGUUCUGUUGACUAGCUGGAUGAAUGUGGAUUAUUUUGGAUGAUCUUUUUUAUUUCUUUUUUGAAAUGUGUAUUGAAUGAUCCAUCCAUUGAUGCCGGUUAACCUGCAUUAUCUGUUUAUAAGGUGUGGAAAUUUUGUUAUGAUUAUGUCUACGCGGCUCAUGUUACUGCACUCUGUAUAGGAUAACAAUUCAGAUUUAACAGAUUCAGUCUCCUCUUCAGAUGGGUAAAAAAAUGUAUGUUGUAUUCAAUGGCUGCCAACCCAAUAUCUAUCAUACAUGGGAGGAGUGCAGUCAACAAGUAAGAUGGAUAUUCUUCAGCCUGCUUCCGUGGCUACAAAUCGGCGUCGGAAGCAUAUACUUAAUGGACUGCUACCUCGCAUCAGAAUGCAGCAUUGGGCGACUUGGAUGCUGAUUAUGACACCAUGGGAUCGACGCAUGGACGUGGUUGCAUCGCCAGUUACAGCAACCAUCUUACAGGGAGAUCAAGAUCGACAUCAAAUUACUGUCAUUACAGUGAUGGCAACGGCACAUAGGGAGAUGAGGUUGAUGAAAUGCCGCAUUUACUUGAGGCGCUGAUAAAGAUUGUAUUUGGUUGCUAGGUUUUAAUCCUUGCCAUUCAUCUCAUCUCAUGUUGCUAAAGAUCAAACUUACUGGACACAGUGGCCAAAUUAGUAGCUGGUUUUACUUUCUGCUUUUUGGGACGUUUUUGGAUAUAUGUUGGACUAUGAUGGACUGUGAAAUCUGAUUCGCUAUAUAUGUUUUGGACAUGACUAUGGCUGCUAGUAGUAUAUAAGGUUGUAGUGGCAGUAUCAGUUUCAUUCA